rnacentral:lncRNA from 1 species
GUUUACUUUAAGGCCAAGGAUGGGGAAGGUCUGAGUAGCUUGUACACAGGAAGAAUUAAGUGCUGCUCUGUGCUCAGUGCGGUUGUGGAGGGAGCAGCUGGCUGCACUGGUCCAUGGCUGGGUUUGGCAGGAGCGAGAACACCAGCCCGGAGCAGACACAGCAUUCCUGGGGCAGGACUGCCCCGCAUGUCACAUCACGAAGCCCAGUGCCCGGCACACAGUGCCCACCUGUCUCUGCUGCCAGGGAGUUUGUUUUUCAAACAUUCCGUGGACAUUCUAGUCCCACAAAAAGCAGCUCAAUUCAGUAUUCACCAUGUCCUGACACCCCAGCAGAGGCUGCAGACCACGGCCAAGGGCGGCUGCCCAUCCAAGGGGCAGAGUCGGGACCUCAUGAGCUGGCAGGGGGCUGGGCUCCAGGUCCUGGAGCUGCUCCCAACUCCCAGGGGGACCUCAGUUUCAGCUGUGGCCAGACUCCCCACUUGCUGUGGACACAGAGCUGGGCAGGACCAGAGGGAUUAUCUGUUCAACCCUUCAUUUCACAGCUGGAGAAACAGGCUCAGAGAGGCAAAGGGGCUCGGCCAAGGUCACACAUUCAAGUAAGAGCAGUGGAGAUUCUGCCCCAGCCCUGGUCCUCUAAUCUAAUCCAUCAGCCCAUAGGAACCGAGCAGCCAUCCCCACGCACACGUGGGACCAGAGCCACUGACCCUGAGAGCCAGCAGGGCUUCCAGGCAACCCUCCCUCCCCGCCCCUCCUGAUUCCAAGCUCUGGAGACAAAAGAGCAGAGGUGAGGUGAGCACCCCAAUGUCACGGGCCAGGCAGCGCCCAGGGGGACGAGAACCCAGGGCUCCAGACUCCACCCUGGCUGCUUCCACCACACCCCCGUCCCCACCCUAGGCACCCUCAGCUCUCCAGCCACUCUGGACACAGCCCUGCAUGUCUCUAUGGCUGUGUGCGCCUCCUCCAUGGGGCCACAUCUGCGUCUGAUUGAAUAAACACCUGGGGGGACGACCAGUGAUCCCCUAAAUAGCACGCACCUGUGGGAUGAGGAGCGGCCAUCCCUUCCAUCCCCAUCAGCUCAGCCUCGACACCAGGAACUCGACAGCAUCCUUCACACUCAGGAAAUGUCGUCUCUGAGAACGAACCGCAUUUUCUGUAGUUAACGCGUAACAACUAGUCCUAUAAAUCUGAAUUAUCCCUGUAAAUCUAAAUGAAGCUCCCAGACUUAAAUGUAUUUAGGACACUUCAUUAAUAAACUG